rnacentral:rRNA from 1 species
UUAAGUUAUUAAGGGCGCACGGUGGAUGCCUUGGCACUAGAAGCCGAUGAAGGACGUUACUAACGACGAUAUGCUUUGGGGAGCUGUAAGUAAGCUUUGAUCCAGAGAUUUCCGAAUGGGGAAACCCAGCAUGAGUUAUGUCAUGUUAUCGAUAUGUGAAUACAUAGCAUAUCAGAAGGCACACCCGGAGAACUGAAACAUCUUAGUACCCGGAGGAAGAGAAAGAAAAUUCGAUUCCCUUAGUAGCGGCGAGCGAAACGGGAAGAGCCCAAACCAACAAGCUUGCUUGUUGGGGUUGUAGGACACUCUAUACGGAGUUACAAAGGACGACAUUAGACGAAUCAUCUGGAAAGAUGAAUCAAAGAAGGUAAUAAUCCUGUAGUCGAAAAUGUUGUCUCUCUUGAGUGGAUCCUGAGUACGACGGAGCACGUGAAAUUCCGUCGGAAUCUGGGAGGACCAUCUCCUAAGGCUAAAUACUCUCUAGUGACCGAUAGUGAACCAGUACCGUGAGGGAAAGGUGAAAAGCACCCCGGAAGGAGAGUGAAAUAGAACCUGAAACCGUGUGCUUACAAGUAGUCAGAGCCCGUUAAUGGGUGAUGGCGUGCCUUUUGUAGAAUGAACCGGCGAGUUACGAUUUGAUGCAAGGUUAAGCAGUAAAUGUGGAGCCGUAGCGAAAGCGAGUCUGAAUAGGGCGUUUAGUAUUUGGUCGUAGACCCGAAACCAGGUGAUCUACCCUUGGUCAGGUUGAAGUUCAGGUAACACUGAAUGGAGGACCGAACCGACUUACGUUGAAAAGUGAGCGGAUGAACUGAGGGUAGCGGAGAAAUUCCAAUCGAACCUGGAGAUAGCUGGUUCUCUCCGAAAUAGCUUUAGGGCUAGCCUCAAGUGAUGAUUAUUGGAGGUAGAGCACUGUUUGGACGAGGGGCCCCUCUCGGGUUACCGAAUUCAGACAAACUCCGAAUGCCAAUUAAUUUAACUUGGGAGUCAGAACAUGGGUGAUAAGGUCCGUGUUCGAAAGGGAAACAGCCCAGACCACCAGCUAAGGUCCCAAAAUAUAUGUUAAGUGGAAAAGGAUGUGGCGUUGCCCAGACAACUAGGAUGUUGGCUUAGAAGCAGCCAUCAUUUAAAGAGUGCGUAAUAGCUCACUAGUCGAGUGACACUGCGCCGAAAAUGUACCGGGGCUAAACAUAUUACCGAAGCUGUGGAUUGUCCUUUGGACAAUGGUAGGAGAGCGUUCUAAGGGCGUUGAAGCAUGAUCGUAAGGACAUGUGGAGCGCUUAGAAGUGAGAAUGCCGGUGUGAGUAGCGAAAGACGGGUGAGAAUCCCGUCCACCGAUUGACUAAGGUUUCCAGAGGAAGGCUCGUCCGCUCUGGGUUAGUCGGGUCCUAAGCUGAGGCCGACAGGCGUAGGCGAUGGAUAACAGGUUGAUAUUCCUGUACCACCUAUAAUCGUUUUAAUCGAUGGGGGGACGCAGUAGGAUAGGCGAAGCGUGCGAUUGGAUUGCACGUCUAAGCAGUAAGGCUGAGUAUUAGGCAAAUCCGGUACUCGUUAAGGCUGAGCUGUGAUGGGGAGAAGACAUUGAGUCUUCGAGUCGUUGAUUUCACACUGCCGAGAAAAGCCUCUAGAUAGAAAAUAGGUGCCCGUACCGCAAACCGACACAGGUAGUCAAGAUGAGAAUUCUAAGGUGAGCGAGCGAACUCUCGUUAAGGAACUCGGCAAAAUGACCCCGUAACUUCGGGAGAAGGGGUGCUCUUUAGGGUUAACGCCCAGAAGAGCCGCAGUGAAUAGGCCCAAGCGACUGUUUAUCAAAAACACAGGUCUCUGCUAAACCGUAAGGUGAUGUAUAGGGGCUGACGCCUGCCCGGUGCUGGAAGGUUAAGAGGAGUGGUUAGCUUCUGCGAAGCUACGAAUCGAAGCCCCAGUAAACGGCGGCCGUAACUAUAACGGUCCUAAGGUAGCGAAAUUCCUUGUCGGGUAAGUUCCGACCCGCACGAAAGGCGUAACGAUUUGGGCACUGUCUCAACGAGAGACUCGGUGAAAUCAUAGUACCUGUGAAGAUGCAGGUUACCCGCGACAGGACGGAAAGACCCCGUGGAGCUUUACUGUAGCCUGAUAUUGAAAUUCGGCACAGCUUGUACAGGAUAGGUAGGAGCCUUUGAAACGUGAGCGCUAGCUUACGUGGAGGCGCUGGUGGGAUACUACCCUAGCUGUGUUGGCUUUCUAACCCGCACCACUUAUCGUGGUGGGAGACAGUGUCAGGCGGGCAGUUUGACUGGGGCGGUCGCCUCCUAAAAGGUAACGGAGGCGCUCAAAGGUUCCCUCAGAAUGGUUGGAAAUCAUUCAUAGAGUGUAAAGGCAUAAGGGAGCUUGACUGCGAGACCUACAAGUCGAGCAGGGUCGAAAGACGGACUUAGUGAUCCGGUGGUUCCGCAUGGAAGGGCCAUCGCUCAACGGAUAAAAGCUACCCCGGGGAUAACAGGCUUAUCUCCCCCAAGAGUUCACAUCGACGGGGAGGUUUGGCACCUCGAUGUCGGCUCAUCGCAUCCUGGGGCUGUAGUCGGUCCCAAGGGUUGGGCUGUUCGCCCAUUAAAGCGGUACGCGAGCUGGGUUCAGAACGUCGUGAGACAGUUCGGUCCCUAUCCGUCGUGGGCGUAGGAAAUUUGAGAGGAGCUGUCCUUAGUACGAGAGGACCGGGAUGGACAUACCUCUGGUGUACCAGUUGUCGUGCCAACGGCAUAGCUGGGUAGCUAUGUGUGGACGGGAUAAGUGCUGAAAGCAUCUAAGCAUGAAGCCCCCCCUCAAGAUGAGAUUUCCCAACUUCGGUUAUAAGAUCCCUCAAAGAUGAUGAGGUUAAUAGGUUCGAGGUGGAAGCAUGGUGACAUGUGGAGCUGACGAAUACUAAUCGAUCGAAGACUUAAUCAA